CCCCCAUCGAGCGGACAGAUGGGAGCUUGCUCCCUGAUGUUAGCGGCGGACGGGUGAGUAACACGUGGGUAACCUGCCUGUAAGACUGGGAUAACUCCGGGAAACCGGGGCUAAUACCGGAUGGUUGUUUGAACCGCAUGGUUCAGACAUAAAAGGUGGCUUCGGCUACCACUUACAGAUGGACCCGCGGCGCAUUAGCUAGUUGGUGAGGUAACGGCUCACCAAGGCAACGAUGCGUAGCCGACCUGAGAGGGUGAUCGGCCACACUGGGACUGAGACACGGCCCAGACUCCUACGGGAGGCAGCAGUAGGGAAUCUUCCGCAAUGGACGAAAGUCUGACGGAGCAACGCCGCGUGAGUGAUGAAGGUUUUCGGAUCGUAAAGCUCUGUUGUUAGGGAAGAACAAGUGCCGUUCAAAUAGGGCGGCACCUUGACGGUACCUAACCAGAAAGCCACGGCUAACUACGUGCCAGCAGCCGCGGAAUACGAGGGGC
rnacentral:rRNA from 1 species